rnacentral:rRNA from 1 species
AUUGAACGCUGGCGGCAUGCCUUACACAUGCAAGUCGAACGGCAGCACGGGUGCUUGCACCUGGUGGCGAGUGGCGAACGGGUGAGUAAUACAUCGGAACAUGUCCUGUAGUGGGGGAUAGCCCGGCGAAAGCCGGAUUAAUACCGCAUACGAUCUACGGAUGAAAGCGGGGGACCUUCGGGCCUCGCGCUAUAGGGUUGGCCGAUGGCUGAUUAGCUAGUUGGUGGGGUAAAGGCCUACCAAGGCGACGAUCAGUAGCUGGUCUGAGAGGACGACCAGCCACACUGGGACUGAGACACGGCACAGACUCCUACGGGAGGCAGCAGUGGGGAAUUGUGGACAAUGGGCGAAAGCCUGAUACAGCAAUGCGGCGUGUGUGAAGAAGGCCUUCGGGUUGUAAAGCACUUUUGUCCGGAAAGAAAUCCUUGGCUCUAAUACAGUCGGGGGAUGACGGUACCGGAAGAAUAAGCACCGGCUAACUACGUG